ensembl:lncRNA
GUUCGUGUUCGUGAGAGUCACCGUUCCACAGACGGUUAAUACUCGUGUUUGGACAUUCAAACUGUUUGGAUGCUACAGACAUUAUUAUUGUUGUUUAUCAUUCCAAAUAGUAGUGGUAUGGGUGGUAAUGAUAGCAGUUUAGUUGUGGUGGUAGUAGUAAUGAUGAAGGUGGUGGUGGUAAUGAUGAAGGUGGUGGUGGUAAUGAUGAAGGUGGUUGUAGUAGUAGUGGUAUGGGUGGUAAUGGUAAUGAUAACAUGAUGGUGGUGGUGGUGGUAAUGAUGAAGGUGGUGGUAGUAGUAGUGGUAUGGGUGGUAAUGGUAAUGAUAGCAGUUUAGUGGUGGUGGUGGUAGUAGUAGUGGUAUGGGUGGUAAUGGUAAUGAUAGCAGUUUAGUGGUGGUGGUGGUGGUGGUAGUAGUGGUAUGGGUGGUAAUGGUAAUGAUAACAGUUUAGUGGUGGUGGUGGUAAUGAUGAAGGUGGUUGUAGUAGUAGUGGUAUGGGUGGUAAUGGUAAUGAUAACAGUUUAGUGAUGGUGGUGGUGGUA